CGGCAGCCGCCGCCUCCUCCACCUGUGCCGGUGCUAGUGAAACUUGAUUCAUAGCUGGCACCAAAGAGAUUGUAUUUGUUGCUGGAGUUGACUCCGUCACUCGCACUGGAGUUGACUCGGCUGCUCGAUUGGAGACCUCAGAGGAGUCGGCACCGGGCAAGGAUAGGCUCAGCGAUGUGGGAGGGUCGUUGUUAUUAGAAGACGACGUCGU
rnacentral:misc_RNA from 1 species